AUGACUUUCAUCACCAUCUUCAUCUGGACACUUGUCUACUUUCAUGGUUCAAGUGGACAGGUUACUGUGACUCAGACUCCAUCAGUGACAUCUGUUCUCCCAGCACAGACAGUCACUGUGAGCUGUAAGACCAGCAGUUUUGUUGGUACCUGUUUUUAUAGUAGUUUUCAAAGUGGCAUCUGUCUUGCUUGGUACCAACAGAAAGCUGGAGAAGCUCCCAAACUCCUGAUCUAUGCAGCAACAAUCCAUGAGUCUGGGAUUCCAGAGCAUUUUAAGCAUUUCAGUGGUAGUGGAUCUGGGACUGACUUCACUCUGACCAUCACAGGAGUCCAGGCUGAAGAUGCAGCAGAUUAUUACUGUCAGAGUCAACACUACCUCAACAGUAAUUGGCUGUUCACACAGGGCUACACACCCAUACAAAAACCUCCCUCACUAGUAGACACCUACGACAAGGCCUACAAGCAUUUUCAGCUACCUGACAUGCCUAAAAUUGAAAGUUCUGACCUCUGA